GAUGAACGCUGGCGGCGUGCCUAAUACAUGCAAGUCGAGCGAACAGACGAGGAGCUUGCUCCUUCGACGUUAGCGGCGGACGGGUGAGUAACACGUAGGUAACCUACCUAUAAGACUGGGAUAACUUCGGGAAACCGGAGCUAAUACCGGAUAAUAUUUCGAACCGCAUGGUUCGAUAGUGAAAGAUGGCUUUGCUAUCACUUAUAGAUGGACCUGCGCCGUAUUAGCUAGUUGGUAAGGUAACGGCUUACCAAGGCAACGAUACGUAGCCGACCUGAGAGGGUGAUCGGCCACACUGGAACUGAGACACGGUCCAGACUCCUACGGGAGGCAGCAGUAGGGAAUCUUCCGCAAUGGGCGAAAGCCUGACGGAGCAACGCCGCGUGAGUGAUGAAGGUCUUCGGAUCGUAAAACUCUGUUAUUAGGGAAGAACAAACGUGUAAGUAACUAUGCACGUCUUGACGGUACCUAAUCAGAAAGCCACGGCUAACUACGUG
rnacentral:rRNA from 1 species